rnacentral:lncRNA from 1 species
CAAGUAGCUGGGACUACAGGCGCCCGCCACUACGCCCGGCUAAUUUUUUGUAUUUUUAGUAGAGACGGGGUUUCACCGUUUUAGCCGGGAUGGUCUCGAUCUCCUGACCUCGUGAUCCGCCCGCCUCGGCCUCCCAAAGUGCUGGGAUUACAGGCGUGAGCCACCGCGCCCGGCCCCUAAUCUUACCUUCUACUGCAGCCUCAGGAAACAACUAAUCUACUUUCUCUAUAGAUUUGCCUAUUGUGGAUAUGUUAUGUAAAUAAAUCAUAUAGUAUGUGGUCUUCUUUCACUUAACGUAAUCUCUUCAAUGUUCAUCCAUGUUGUAGUAUGUAUCAGCCACAUGAUUUUCAUUGCUGAAUAAUAUUUUAUCAUUUCAUUCCAUACUACAUUUUAUUUAUCCAUUCAUCAUUCAAUAAACAACUUGGGUUGUUUCAAUCAGCUUCUUUGGGUGUUAUGAGUAAUGCCACUAUGAACAUUUGUGUACAGUUCUUGAACGGACAUAAGUUUUCAAUUCUCUUGAAUAUAUGCCUAGGAGUGGAAUUGCUUGAUUAUGUGGUAACUCUAUUCUCAACUUUUUGAGGAACGAUCAAACUCUCUUCUAUAGCGAUUGCACCAUUUUCCAUCCCCACCAGCAAUACCAGCAAUAUAUGACAGUUCA